CCUGACCCGAACCCCCCUAGACGCCGGAGGAGGAGGAGUGACCGGAAGCGGGGGGAGUACGACGACACCUAAAACACACCAACCCCCUGACCCUAACCCUCGGACCAACACAGCCUCGUGGACCGAACGGACCAAAGAGGCACCACUUUCCCGAAACGAAAACCAGCUUAGAGACUAGUCCAUAAGCCUAACACGACACUGACUUAAGCGGCCCCACAGAACGACACCAACCCAACCGAGGAUAGGACGCAACACCAAGAACGCUUGGCCCCCAUCACCAACCCCGGCCAACUGACAAUAUACUGACACAGAUAGGGCGAGCACGCACAGAGGAACCACCUCGUCCCCCGACUCCCACACCACCAACGACAGCGAAGCCUAUCAUAGGUACCCUAUACCCACCACUGAAACCACCCCCCCCCUCCACGGCUCAGCCGAGCCCCCUCCCAAACCCAACUGGAUAUGUACAUGCAACCACCAACGAAGAGGAGGCCAAAGAGCAGGGGAACAAACUACACACCCCCCUCCUUUCCCACCCGACAGACCCAUUGACCUCACACCCCAGUUUACCCCUACCUAACACAAAACAACGAAAAGGGACAUACAUGUUGGACACGAGAUACACCCAGAGCCGCACUCAACUAGUAGCCCGCACUACUAAAUCCACGGACAAUGAAGCG